AUUAACGCUGGCGGCGUGCCUCAUACAUGCCAGUCGAGCGCACAGACGAGGAGCUUGCUCCUCUGACGUUAGCGGCGGACGGGUGAGUAACACGUGGAUAACCUACCUAUAAGACUGGGAUAACUUCGGGAAACCGGAGCUAAUACCGGAUAAUAUAUUGAACCGCAUGGUUCAAUAGUGAAAGACGGUUUUGCUGUCACUUAUAGAUGGAUCCGCGCCGCAUUAGCUAGUUGGUAAGGUAACGGCUUACCAAGGCAACGAUGCGUAGCCGACCUGAGAGGGUGAUCGGCCACACUGGAACUGAGACACGGUACAGACUCCUACGGGAGGCAGCAGUAGGGAAUCUUCCGCAAUGGGCGAAAGCCUGACGGAGCAACGCCGCGUGAGUGAUGAAGGUCUUCGGAUCGUAAAACUCUGUUAUUAGGGAAGAACAAAUGUGUAAGUAACUAUGCACGUCUUGACGGUACCUAAUCAGAAAGCCACGGCUAACUACGUG
rnacentral:rRNA from 1 species